GAGCUCCUAACCCACUGACUUAAAGGUACGUUGAAGCAAAGGAAGGGGAUGCAGCAACAGAGGUAGUGAGAGGGGGCUAAGCCGGCGGCUGGAGCGGCGAGGAGAUAGGGCGGCGGCGGGCGGCGGGAGGGGAGGGAGGGUAGUGGAAGAGAUGCGGCCGUCCCGAAGGUGGACACCUAACCCCUAGACGUGGUCGCUACCCGAGGAGGAAGCGGGUCCCGUCGUCCAGGCGGAACGUCCCGGCCCCGCCCUCGUCCUCGCCCGGCACGAAACUGGGCCGAGCAGUCGAGACCGUACCUCCUCCUGGAGAACACGCGCCACCGCCGACCUCCUCCUCAACAUAAGCGGUCGUUGGCGCUGUCUUAAUAGAGUCAUCAGGAAAUAAAAAGAGAUGUGUUAACUUAAAAUCAACGGACCACCAGUGACACACGCGUUAAGAGAAUUUAUAAAACAUAGUGAAUAUGCAGAUAUGAAGUUCUAUCCAUACCUGUAACUCAUUAAAGUCGGUUGAACGGUAUACCAUUAACGUCCAACUAAGGAGAAGUCUAAAACGAAAUCAUACAAAAAAAUGGCUAAAGAGCUACUAGGGGUCUUAGUGUUUUAGACCAGUAAAGGUCCAAAUCGUAUUAUCUAAGGAGCUAGAUCGUGAAGAAAACUAUAUCCUCCAAUAAAAAAAUGAUUAACCUCCAAAGUCCGGAGGUACAAUUAAGAUUCUCCCGUUUCAGACAACGUUAUAAACUAGAAGUCAGAUUGGUACUACUUAAAAGUCGGUCCGGGGUGAAAGCCAACUAAUACCACCACCUUACAACUGUUCGACACAGACAGAUGGAUAGUAAGAGAGUUAACAAGUCAAAUUCUUGAAAACCGUCUUCCGACCUGAAACCCGUAGCCGGUUUAGUAGGACUCAUGAAGAACUCAAAAAAGAGAGUCGACACCUAAUAUUAAAUAAACGAGCUUACGAACGACUCAACCGGCUUGAGUAGUGUGAGACCUCGAGCGCACGACAGUCUCUCCUUCUGUGUGUAUGAUACAACAGAACCCGUUUAAGUGACUCUAUCAACAACUAGUGGCUUGGAAUAAAGAAAGAGAGAAAGAAAACGGAAAGCGGAAACAUUUCGUAGGACAAGUCGCCAGACCACUAUUGUCCAGUGUGACAAAAUACACCGUGAUUAUAGUGGAAGUACAUUAACUGAGGCCAGUGGGUCCUAGUACGGACCAUCUUUCACUAUUAUGGAAAAAUAAGUUUUUUCUUCUCAAACCUACACCUCUCGGGCGCCUAAAUCUUUUAACCUUCCAGCAAUACCGGAGUUCCUCCGUAUGAUACCUACACGACGUCUUCUGCGUACGCUUCUACAGCUCGUACACCGAGACGCGUGUUCUCUUACGUCACUCAGGUAUAUUAGGUUAAAGGAAUGAGACAUCUGAGGUCCACGGAGAACUAAGUGGAAAAAAUGUAGGGUAUCUUCUAUUCCUUUCUGUACAAAAAGUCAAAACUACACGGUACUUGAAUCUAAAAAAAUGACCUUGAUAUAUUCCGAAGUUUUAAGUCAAUAGUCUUGUGCUUAAUUAGGAUCUAUUGUAUACAACAACCAGACCGUCGAAUGACGGUCUUUUCAACACGAGAGUUCCCCACGCUCCUGACGAUCCCUACAUGUCCAUACUGUGCACCUCUCCCACGACUGUUAACCGUUAAGUUUGAGACUUUUUGUGUUUAAGAGUGUAAUAAUGUCUUGCACAACGAUUUAGUACUAUCAAAUAUUCAUGCAAUGACUUACAUGACUUGGUGUACAAUCAUCACUAGCACUUAACACCUUUGAACUACUAAUAAUAUAUAUUGGUUUAAAACGAUCGGACGAACGGCAUUCAAACAAAGUGGUUGUCUAUCAACAUACAUACGUGUCCAUACGUCGCGUAACGAGACAAGGUUUCACACACGGACAGAUUAAAAUUAAACUAUAACACACACGCACGGACAGAUUAAACGGCAACACACACUAAACCAGACAGUGACACGCCAGGAUGAUAGGAUUCCUAACGACGGUUUAAAAAACAACAAGCAAGUCCAAGAAAGUUACGACGUCGACGAAGGAGAAGGAGACGAAGCUUAGCUAGAAAGCAUCCAUGCUUCGUACUAGAAAUUCGAGUACGUACAAGUGAUAAAAGACGUCUUAAGUGCUUAUUCAUUUUGGAUAUACCGCCUAGCCUGUAAGACAAAGGUGAAGAGAUGUAGUACGACGGGUGGCCCGUACCUAUAAGUGGAGGUGGUUAAACUAACUAGGAUACAAGAUGAAGUCAAAUAGUCGAUUCAAAUAUGUGACAGGACUUUCCGGAUUCGGGUUUAGCGUACAAUUAAGGGACCUGUUAAAAAAGAAGGUUUUAUACAGGACAACAUAAAUUUACUUGUCUAGGAAGAUUAUGUCGUGAUAUGUAACCGUUUCUCUAUUAUAUAUGACCAGAGUGAGUCUAAAACAAGAAGUACAAGUAUAUAUUCAAGAGAAUAAUAGAGAAACACAUGUAGAAGUUUAUCGUUGAAUCAACCACCUUAAAUACAAGGACGAAAUACAUCGAUUUAUUUUUAGUCCUUGAUACAACGUCACAAAUAAGGAAUCGAGAAAACUAAAUGUUUAUUCAGAUGACAACAUGUUAGGAAUAUUAACUUCAACCAACAAGUUCGUCUGUGUUACACGUGACUGUCUUCUACCAUCCUUGUUACCAGGUUUAAGUUGAUACAUAAACGGUUUCAACUAAUACGAAUUGAGAUCCGUAACGUAAUGAUAUAGUACCACAUGAUAAGAAACUUCUUAAACAUCCUCCAUGAUCUUUUCGUACUGAACUACUCGCUACGGAACUAAAAUUUUUUGUCGGCCUUUAUUAAAUCAAAUCAUUUUAUAACAUAUCGGAAGAGCAUCUUCAAACUAUGUGAAAAAGUUCUUUUGCUUGAAACCAAUUAGUAAUUCGAUAUUGAAAAGAGUAUAAACUUGUUGUUCCAAUAAACUCAAGACGAUUUUUUUCACCGUUACGAUUUUUUUCUCCGAUAAAACACAUUGAAAACGUUUGAAACACCUUUCUUCGAUUUUUAUUGACUAAAGCAACAGAUCAGGUGUCAGGUUACAAUUAGAUCUCCCACCUUAGAAAUUUGAAGCAAUUACGAAAGAACAGGCAAAACUAGUUUAUAUACGGACUACACCAAACAUAUUUGAAUACCACCAUAUCAAUCAAAACGAAAAAAAACCCGUCCUAUAUUAUUGUAACAUCCAUCUGCCUCUGACUUAGUAAAGUGUGAUGAAACUACAGAUAGCUCGGUUACCCUGUUGUUUCUUUUCUUCUUGGCCUUCGUCCAAAAGAUAGAAGUGCUCGUUCAGCCGCAGACAUUUCGAAACGACCUCGGUAAGGUCGAGAAAGUCUCGGUGUUCCGUUCCUUCGGCUCCUUGGUCCUGCGGUUGCCACGCCUCGUCAAACGGUAGCUCUCCUGAUCCGGUUCUAGUUGUAGAGGGAGCACGGAGGUAGUUGUGGCACAGGACCUCCCAGCAGCGGCAGCGCGGCAGGCGCUGCUACUCGUUGACAGCAUCGAAACAUUCGACGUGCCAAUCUCCCUCCGUAGUUCCCGGCCGGUGGCGACGCCCCCGGCUGCACGCACGUUAAAGAUAAUUACAUAGAAUACAACGGUUUGUUGUUGUACGAGAACAGCUACGAUAUAGCAACACCCGCACCGUAAAGUCAAAGAAGGAGUCCACUACAAGGUUAUAUUAUUCAAGGUAGUUCUUAACGUACAUAUAGAUGGACCGUGGCGGGUCUACGGGAGUUCACCGCGGGGUGCCCGCGCGGUGUUGAUGAUCAGAAUAGGUUCGGUAUGUAAGAACGUACCGUCCCCUAUGUGAUCAUCUUAACAUUUUUAAUUUUAAUAUUCAACUUC
rnacentral:rRNA from 1 species